UUAGGCCUCUAUAAAUCUGUAAGGCCCCUUUAAAUCCUCUUGCUAUACCUCUAAGAGGCCCCCAUAGUUUUAUAAGAAAGCCUUGUCUAUAGAACAUAGAAUUUGCAUGCCAGCAAGAAACAGCUUUGAUAAAAUGUGUAUUUACUAAAAGCCUUGAAACCUAACCUUGAGAAACUAACUAACUAAGUGCCAGCUACGCUCUAAAUGGAUAGCUGCCAAAAGGCCCCUCCCGUCGAGUGAGCUCCUCAUGUUAGCAAAAUGGCGCUAAAACCUGGAGGAGUUAAAAAUGACGUGGAUAGUGACCUAAGAAUGGGGAGGGCAUUUUACUAACAUCUUAGCACCUAAGC